UUUGUGAUGAAAGUGAAUUAAGCCAACAAGGUUUCAAGAGCCUUGUUGGCUUUUUUAAUUUCUAGACAUCAAAAAAUCGGAUUGGUAAAAAUCUCAAAACUUCGAUUUCCACCAAUCCGAUUCACUCUGUAAUAAAGAAUAAACAACAUACAGCCAUUGACACACCCAAAUUUAGGCGCGUCAAAUCGGCUAUACAUUGAUAAAUUUUUAGUUAAAGUACUUACAAAUAUACUUGCCUUCAAAUUCUCAAUUAAUUUAGUCAUUACAUGCCAUGACAUAAAGCUUACAUUACAUAUAUUAACAUGUUCCGCUACAAAACAUAUUCAGUAUAUGUAUAGAGGAUAUUUAUUCUAAGUUAAAACCUUUUCAAAUUAUAACCGCUACAAUUAUAAAUGAUUAAAGUGUUUCAACAUAUUAUAUAUAUUCCACGCUCACA
rfam:Staphylococcus aureus subsp. aureus 21195 contig00053, whole genome shotgun sequence.